rnacentral:rRNA from 1 species
AACGAACGCUGGCGGCAUGCCUAACACAUGCAAGUCGAACGAGACCUUCGGGUCUUGUGGCGCACGGGUGCGUAACGCGUGGGAACCUGCCCUUAGGGUCGGGAUAACUCCCCGAAAGGGGUGCUAAUACCGGAUAAUGUCUUCGGACCAAAGAUUUAUCGACUUUGGUUGGGCCCGAGUUGGAUUAGCUAGUUGGUAGGGUAAAAGCCUACCAAGGCGACGAUCCAUAGCUGGUUUGAGAGGAUGAUCAGCCACACUGGGACUGAGACACGGCCCAGACUCCUACGGGAGGAAGCAGUGGGGAAUAUUGGACAAUGGGCGAAAGCAUGAUCCAGCACUGCCGCGUGAGUGAUGAAGGCCUUAGGGUUGUAAAGCUCUUUUACCCGGGAUGAUAAUGACAGUACCGGGAGAAUAAGCUCCGGCUAACUCCGUG